rnacentral:rRNA from 1 species
AUUGAACGCUGGCGGCAUGCUUUACACAUGCAAGUCGAACGGUAACAGGGUGCUUGCACCGCUGACGAGUGGCGAACGGGUGAGUAAUGCGUCGGAACGUGCCGAGUAGUGGGGGAUAACGCAGCGAAAGUUGUGCUAAUACCGCAUACGUACUGAGGUAGAAAGUGGGGGACCUUCGGGCCUCACGCUAUUCGAGCGGCCGACGUCUGAUUAGCUAGUAGGUGAGGUAAAGGCUCACCUAGGCGACGAUCAGUAGCGGGUCUGAGAGGAUGAGCAGCCAAACGGGAGAGGGGAAACAGCCCAGACACCUACGGGAGGCAGAAGUGGGGAAUUAUGGACAAGGGGCGGAAGCCUGAUCGAGACAUGCCGCUUGUCUGAAGAAGGCCUUCGGGUUGUAAAGGACUUUUGUCAGGGAGGAAAUCCCUAGUGCUAAUAACACUGGGGGAUGACAGUACCUGAAGAAUAAGCACCGGCUAACUACGUGCCAGCCGCCGCGGUAA